AGUGAACGCUGGCGGUAGGCCUAACACAUGCAAGUCGAACGGCAGCACAGUAAGAGCUUGCUCUUACGGGUGGCGAGUGGCGGACGGGUGAGGAAUACAGCGGAAUCUACUUUUUCGUGGGGGAUAACGUAGGGAAACUUACGCUAAUACCGCAUACGACCUACGGGUGAAAGCAGGGGAUCUUCGGACCUUGCGCGAUUGAAUGAGCCGAUGUCGGAUUAGCUAGUUGGCGGGGUAAAGGCCCACCAAGGCGACGAUCCGUAGCUGGUCUGAGAGGAUGAUCAGCCACACUGGAACUGAGACACGGUCCAGACUCCUACGGGAGGCAGCGGUGGGGAAUAUUGGACAAUGAGCGCAAGCCUGAUCCAGCCAUACCGCGUGGGUGAAGAAGGCCUUCGGGUUGUAAAGCCCUUUUGUUGGGAAAGAAAAGCAGCAGGUUAAUACCGCGGUGUUCUGACGGUACCCAAAGAAUAAGCACCGGCUAACUUCGUG
rnacentral:rRNA from 1 species